GUGGAUAAUCUGCCUGGAUGCCCGGGAUAACCAGUCGAAAGAUUGGCUAAUACCGGAUAAGCCCACGGCCUCUUCGGAGACUGAGGGAAAAGGUGGCCUCUGUAUACAAGCUAUCACAACCAGAUGAGUCCGCGGCCCAUCAGCUAGUUGGCGGGGUAAUGGCCCACCAAGGCAACGACGGGUAGCUGGUCUGAGAGGACGAUCAGCCACACUGGAACUGAGACACGGUCCAGACUCCUACGGGAGGCAGCAGUGGGGAAUUUUGCGCAAUGGGCGAAAGCCUGACGCAGCAACGCCGCGUGUGUGAUGAAGGUCUUCGGAUUGUAAAGCACUUUCGACCGGGACGAAAACCCGUAGCCCAACACGCUACGGCUUGACGGUACCGGGAGAAGAAGCACCGGCUAACUCUGUGCCAGCAGCCGCGNUAAUACAGAGGGUGCAAGCGUUGUUCGGAAUUAUUGGGCGUAAAGCGCGUGUAGGCGGCGUGACAAGUCGGGUGUGAAAGCCCUCAGCUCAACUGAGGAAGUGCGCCCGAAACUGUCGUGCUUGAGUGCCGGAGAGGGUGGCGGAAUUCCCGAAGUAGAGGUGAAAUUCGUAGAUAUCGGGAGNAACACCGGUGGCGAAGGCGGCCACCUGGACG
rnacentral:rRNA from 1 species